AUACGGAGGAUGCGAGCGUUAUCCGGAUUCAUUGGGUUUAAAGGGUGCGUAGGCGGCUUUUUAAGUCAGUGGUGAAAUCCUGCCGCUUAACGGUAGAAUUGCCAUUGAUACUGAAGAGCUUGAGUACAAUUGAGGUAAGCGGAAUGUGUAGUGUAGCGGUGAAAUGCUUAGAUAUUACACAGAACACCGAUUGCGAAGGCAGCUUACUAAACUGUCACUGACGCUGAUGCUCGAAAGUGUGGGUAUC
rnacentral:rRNA from 1 species